UGGGGAAUUUUGGACAAUGGGGGCAACCCUGAUCCAGCCAUGCCGCGUGCGGGAAGAAGGCCUUCGGGUUGUAAACCGCUUUUGUUCGGGAAGAAAUCCUCUGGGCUAAUACCCCGGGGGAUGACGGUACCGGAAGAAUAAGCACCGGCUAACUACGUGCCAGCAGCCGCGGUAAUACGUAGGGUGCGAGCGUUAAUCGGAAUUACUGGGCGUAAAGCGUGCGCAGGCGGUUGUGCAAGACAGAUGUGAAAUCCCCGGGCUUAACCUGGGAACUGCAUUUGUGACUGCACGGCUAGAGUGCGGCAGAGGGGAGUGGAAUUCCGCGUGUAGCAGUGAAAUGCGUAGAUAUGCGGAGGAACACCGAUGGCGAAGGCAGCUCCCUUGGGCCUUGCACUGACGCUCAUGCACGAAAGCGUGGGGAGCAAACA
rnacentral:rRNA from 1 species